rnacentral:rRNA from 1 species
AUUGAACGCUGGCGGCAGGCCUAACACAUGCAAGUCGAGCGUGCGGCGGACGGGUGAGUAAUGUAUGGGGAUCUGCCUGAUAGAGGGGGAUAACUACUGGAAAUGGUGUCUAAUACCGCAUACUAUCGGAUGAACCCAUUUGGGAUUAGCUAGUAGGUGGGGUAAAGGCUUACCUAGGCGACGAUCUCUAGCUGGUCUGAGAGGAGGAUCUGCCACACUGGGACUGAGACACGGCCCAGACUCCUACGGGAGGCAGCAGUGGGGAAUAUUGCACAAUGGACGAAAGCCUGAUGCAGCCAUGCCGCGUGUAUGAAGAAGGCCUUAGGGUUGUAAAGUACUUUCAGCGGGGAGGCGUUACCCGCAGAAGAAGCAACGGCUAACUCCGUGCCAGCAGCCGCGGUAAUUC